rnacentral:rRNA from 1 species
GUGCCAGCAGCCGCGGUAAUACGGAGGGUCCGAGCGUUAUCCGGAUUUAUUGGGUUUGAAGGGUGCGUAGGCGGUUUUAUAAGUCAGCGGUGAAAUUUUCCGGCUCAACCGGGAUACUGCCGUUGAUACUGUAAGGCUAGGAUAUGGUUGCUGUGGGGGGAAUGUGUGGUGUAGCGGUGAAAUGCUUAGGGAUCACACAGAAUAUCGAUUGCGAAGGCAGCUCAAAAAGCCAUUAUUGCAG